rnacentral:rRNA from 1 species
UCCGGCAGCUAGCUCUCUGCAACUCUCACAUGGUCGCCCACUGAAGCUAAGUAGGGCUGCGCCUGGUCAGUACUUGGAUGGGAGACCACAUGGGAAAGCUAGGUUUCUGCCGUAA